UGUUGAAAUUCAAAUAAAGGAGCCUUGAACGUAGGUUAGAAACCGGGUCCUUCUCUAUUGUCACAAAAUCUUGACAUAAAAGCUGACUAAUGACAGACAUA